rnacentral:rRNA from 2 species
GUGCGUAACGCGUAUACAAUCUGCCUUUCACUGGGGGAUAGCCCGAAGAAAUUUGGAUUAAUACCCCAUAGUAUAGUAAUACGGCAUCGUGAUGCUAUUAAAGCUUAGGUGGUGAAAGAUGAGUAUGCGUUCUAUUAGCUAGUUGGAGAGGUAACGGCUCCCCAAGGCGAUGAUAGAUAGGGGUUCUGAGAGGGAUGUCCCCCACACUGGUACUGAGAUACGGACCAGACUCCUACGGGAGGCAGCAGUGAGGAAUAUUGGACAAUGGUCGGAAGACUGAUCCAGCCAUGCCGCGUGCAGGAUGAAGGUCUUAUGGAUUGUAAACUGCU